CAAUAGCGUAUAUUAAAGCUGUUGCGGUUAAAAAGCUCGUAGUUGGAUUUCUGUCAAGGACAACUGGUCCGCCCCUCGGGUGAGCACAUAGUUUGGUCUUGGCAUCUUGUUGGAAACUGUUGCUGCACUUGGUUGUGUGGCGCAGUGUCCAGCACUUUCACUUUGAGGAAAUUGGAGUGUUUCAAGCAGGCACAUGCCUUUGGACACAGUAGCAUGGAAUAAUUAGAUUGGGCUUUUGCUCCAACUUGUCGGUUUCUGGAGCUGAGGUGAGAAUUAACGGGGAUUGUUGGGGGCAUCCGAAUUUAGCCGUCAGAGGUGAAAUUCUUGGAUCUGCUAAAGACGGACAACUGCGAAAGCGUUUGCCCAGGAUGUUUUCAUUGA
rnacentral:rRNA from 1 species